UACAGAGGGGGCAAGCGUUGUUCGGAAUUACUGGGCGUAAAGCGCACGUAGGCGGAUUGUUAAGUCAGGGGUGAAAUCCCGAGGCUCAACCUCGGAACUGCCUUUGAUACUGGCAAUCUCGAGUCCGGAAGAGGUGAGUGGAAUUCCUAGUGUAGAGGUGAAAUUCGUAGAUAUUAGGAAGAACACCAGUGGCGAAGGCGGCUCACUGGUCCGGUACUGACGCUGAGGUGCGAAAGCGUGGGGAGCAAACAGG
rnacentral:rRNA from 1 species